AUUAUAGAUAGAGAUAAACUGUAAAAUAAUGAAAGUAAGAGCUACAAAUAAGUCAACAUGACCAAAGUGGUCAAUUGACCUCUUAAGGAGUUAUUGCCCUUUAUAGUCAAUUUUUACAAAAGAUUUUCCACUGUCACUUCUAGGCCAAGUUCAUUAUAGGUAGAGAUCAUUGUAAGCAGCAACACCAAAACACAAUUUUGUCAUGAAUUCUUCUGUGUCCUUUGCUUAAUAUGUACAUAGACCAAGGUGAGCAACACAGGCUCUUUAGAGCCUCUAGUUUAUUCAUCCAACAAAAUACUUCAUUAUAAUAAAAUCAAAAUUAAUUGUCUCUUUAUUUUUUUCCAAUGGAAAUUCGAGGCAAA
rnacentral:lncRNA from 1 species